rnacentral:rRNA from 1 species
AUUGAACGCUGGCGGAAUGCUUUACACAUGCAAGUCGAACGGCAGCACGGGGGCAGCCCUGGUGGCGAGUGGCGAACGGGUGAGUAAUACAUCGGAACGUGCCCGGUCGUGGGGGAUAACGUAGCGAAAGUUACGCUAAUACCGCAUACGAUCUGAGGAUGAAAGCGGGGGACCUUCGGGCCUCGCGCGAUCGGAGCGGCCGAUGUCAGAUUAGGUAGUUGGUGGGGUAAAGGCCUACCAAGCCGACGAUCUGUAGCUGGUCUGAGAGGACGACCAGCCACACUGGGACUGGGACACGGCCCAGACUCCUACGGGAGGCAGCAGUGGGGAAUUUUGGACAAUGGGCGCAAGCCUGAUCCAGCCAUUCCGCGUGCAGGACGAAGGCCUUCGGGUUGUAAACUGCUUUUGUACGGAACGAAAAGGCUCUGGCUAAUACCUGGGGCUCAUGACGGUACCGUAAGAAUAAGCACCGGCUAACUACGUG